CCCUGCGCCGCCGACGCCCGCCCUCCCGCAGAGCCCUCCGCCGACCUCUUGGUGAACCUGAGCCGCUGCCGACGCCUCAUCGUGGUGCUUUCGGACGCCUUCCUGAGCCGGGCCUGGUGCAGCCACAGCUUCCGGUGGGUCCCGCGCGAGGUUGGGUGGGCCCCAGCUUAGCACCCACCCCCCUGACGGUCCCGCCCCGCAGGGAGGGCCUGUGCCGGCUGCUGGAGCUCACCCGCAGACCCAUCUUCAUCACCUUCGAGAGCCAGAGGCGCGACCCCGCGCACCCGGCGCUCCGCCUGCUGCGCCAGCACCGCCACCUGGUGACCUUGCUGCUCUGGAGGCCCGGCUCCGUGGUGCGGAGCAGGCGCGGGAGGGUCCGGGGCUAGCGGCGGGUUAGAGAUGGGCGGUGCCCGGGCUCCAGGCUGGGACCCCUCCGUGGGGAGCUCUGCGGCACCACGCUUUGUUAAUGGGCCCUGGGGGGAGGUUCCGCUGCCUGGGGCCCCGGUGGGGGGAGCCGCCCUUGAGGCCCCCGGAGCCACGGAAUAGCUGUCGCAGGGCGUGGAACCCGUGGGCAGCCGCAGGUGUGCUCUUGGGGGCCAGGACGCCAGGGGCUUCCGAGGUGUUCACACCUGCAAACCGCCCCGACCUGGCCCCCAGACUCCUUCCUCCGAUUUUUGGAAAGAAGUGCAGCUGGCGCUGCCGCGGAAGGUGCGGUACAGGCCGGUGGAAGGAGACCCCCAGACGCAGCUGCAGGACGACAAGGACCCCA
rnacentral:sRNA from 1 species